rnacentral:lncRNA from 1 species
AGUCGAAGAGGCUAAUUCCGGGCCUCUUAUAAAAAUAAGAAAGAAAAGCCUCGUUUCCUCUAGAUCAGAGAGAUGGCUUCUGGAUUCAUCUUUCCCUGCAAUCCAGCUUCUCCUCCUGGGGCCCUCAUAAUGGAGACUGGGAUCAUCAUCCAGGCUUUUGCACUGGGUUAGGAAUUUGGGAGUCAUCCUGGAUCCAUCUGCCCCUGUCAACCUUUCUCUGUCAACAGAUAUUUACUGGGCAUCUCCAACAGCCAGGCCCUGUUCAUGGUGCUGAAGAACAGCAUGUAUAAAACAACCCUGCCCUCACAGGGCGAUCACCAGUGACCUGUGGUGUGGAGUCUCCUUUUACCUCUGUCUCCUCCUUCCCACUGUCACCAUCCUUGGUCCUCCUCUGUCACCUGGAAUACUCCACUUGGUAACCAGCAUGAUCUUCUAACACUAGUUUUACCCUUGUCAGCACUUUGCCGAAAACCUCAAAUAAAGACUUUUUUUUUUUUUUUUUUGAGACGGAGUCUCGCUCUGUCGCCCAGGCCGGACUGCGGACUGCAGUGGCGCAAUCUCGGCUCACUGCAAGCUCCGCUUCCCGGGUUCACGCCAUUCUCCUGCCUCAGCCUCCCCAGUAGCUGGGACUACAGGCGCCCGCCACCGCGCCCGGCUAAUUUUUUGUAUUUUUAGUAGAGACGGGGUUUCACCUUGUUAGCCAGGAUGGUCUCGAUCUCCUGACCUCAUGAUCCACCCGCCUCGGCCUCCCAAAGUGCUGGGAUUACAGGCGUGAGCCACCGCGCCCGGCCAAAUAAAGACUUUUUUAAAAAUGUGCGAUGGAAAACUAAAGUUAUAAAUUAUA